UAAGCCCGCCUGCGCCGAUGGUACUGCAAUGCAAUGCGGGAGAGUAGGAGGCCGCCACUU
rnacentral:rRNA from 1 species